UGGGGAAUAUUGCACAAUGGGCGAAAGCCUGAUGCAGCGACGCCGCGUGAGGGAUGACGGCCUUCGGGUUGUAAACCUCUUUCAGCAGGGACGAAGCGCAAGUGACGGUACCUGCAGAAGAAGCACCGGCUAACUACGUGCCAGCAGCCGCGGUAAUACGUAGGGUGCAAGCGUUGUCCAGAAUUACUGGGCGUAAAGAGUUCGUAGGCGGUUUGUCGCGUCGUUUGUGAAAACCAGCAGCUCAACUGCUGGCUUGCAGGCGAUACGGGCAGACUUGAGUACUGCAGGGGAGACUGGAAUUCCUGGUGUAGCGGUGAAAUGCGCAGAUAUCAGGAGGAACACCGGUGGCGAAGGCGGGUCUCUGGGCAGUAACUGACGCUGAGGAACGAAAGCGUGGGUAGCGAACAGG
rnacentral:rRNA from 1 species